UCGGAAACCGCUCCUGCCGAGACAGCC
rnacentral:piRNA from 1 species